rnacentral:rRNA from 1 species
UACGUAGGGGGCUAGCGUUGCUCGGAAUCACUGGGCGUAAAGGGUGCGUAGGCGGAUCUUUAAGUCAGGGGUGAAAUCCUGGAGCUCAACUCCAGAACUGCCUUUGAUACUGAGGAUCUCGAGUUCGGGAGAGGUGAGUGGAACUGCGAGUGUAGAGGUGAAAUUCGUAGAUAUUCGCAAGAACACCAGUGGCGAAGGCGGCUCACUGGCCCGAUACUGACGCUGAGGCACGAAAGCGUGGGGAGCAAACAGG